UACGUAGGGGGCAAGCGUUAUCCGGAUUUACUGGGUGUAAAGGGAGCGUAGACGGCGGUGCAAGCCAGAUGUGAAAGCCCGGGGCUCAACCCCGGGACUGCAUUUGGAACUGUGCUGCUAGAGUGUCGGAGAGGCAGGCGGAAUUCCUAGUGUAGCGGUGAAAUGCGUAGAUAUUAGGAGGAACACCAGUGGCGAAGGCGGCCUGCUGGACGAUGACUGACGUUGAGGCUCGAAAGCAUGGGGAGCAAACAGG
rnacentral:rRNA from 1 species